UUUUAACCAAAUGGGUGUUUUUUAAAAAAUUAUUUACCUAAAAGGUGUACUUUUAAACAUAUUUACCAAACAAGGAUAUUUUGAAAUAAAUUCGCUACCCUGCUCCAGAACACGCGUUUACAUCAUGAUUCCUUCGGUGGCCUCCAUCUCCGGUCGGAUGCCGCCCUCUCCGGCCACACCAAACGUAGGCACUUAAUCCAUGUCAUUGAUUGCUGUCCUCCGACGCUUCCACCACGACCGCUCACCUCCGGCGCCUCCUCAGCCGCUACCAUCUCUAUCGAGAUUCAAAGGUUCCAUCUUUCUGGUUUCAUGUUUCCUAAUUUCAUCUUUCUGAUUUCAAGCUUCCAGCUUUUCAGUUUUCCAUCUUUCUAAUGAGUUUCGUUGAAUGUAGAUUAGAUCUGGAUUUUUCUGAUUUCAUCUUUAAUCUUUCUGAUUACAGGGUUAUCAUGUUUCUUGAUUUCAUCUUUCUGAUUUCAAUUCAUGUUUUCCAUCUUAAUAAUAAGUUUCAUUGAUUGUAGAUUAGAUCUGGAUCCGAUAGCACAACAAAACCCUUAGAAAGAAAACUUCAAAGAUUAGAGAUUUCAUAUCUUAAUUCUGUUAAAGAAAGAGAGAGUUCUAAACUGUACUUUGUUAAAAGAUCGAUUAAAAGUUGUCUCCUAGUGUGUGUAUAGCUCAGUAAGUUUUUCAAGUAUCAAUUAGUCAAAUCGGUAAUCCGAUCUAAGAAGGUUGUAAUUAUGUUGGAAGACAAUGAAAUAAGAGCAAGAGAAGCGAGAUUACCGCGGGUAUAGACCGUAAUCCCAUAUUCCGGCGGAACCACGUGUCUAGUUGAUUUUCUUUCUUGUGUUACGAGUAUGUGAUUGAUCUAAUUGUAAAUAUUCAAAUUGAAGCUAAAACUAUUAUUAAUAGUUUUUGAUAUAUUGUGUAACUAAAAGUAGUUUGAUA